AGAAUUUUAUUAUUAUACAUAGUGUCAGAAAACUAGAAAAAGACAGUCAACGGUCAAAACAGUCAAAAUUAUAUAGGAAUGUUAAUACUUUGUAGCUAUAUUAUUGUAGCUAUUAUCUCCGUUUCAGCUUUCGUAUGUCUGUGUGUUCUCCUCUAGAGGUCGCAUUUCUCAAGCGAUUCCCGUGAAAUUUUGGGAGCAGAUUCUAAAAACAUAUGAGAACCGAUUGUUUUUGUUUUCAAUUUUUUUUUUGAAAUUUUUGAAAAUGGCGGAGUUGGCACUCUUACGACUGUUUCGUGUUUGUAGUGACAACGAAAUAACAAAGGAAUUUCAUUUUCUAAUAUGACAUAUGACACAUAAUGGACGGAUAUUUUCAUCAGCGUUGUCAAAAGAUGAAUAGUUCAGUUCGUUUACAAAGAGAUAAUGGCUGAUUGAUUUGAGCGUCUAGAGUUCGAAUCCCGCUGGAAGGCGGCCUCUUUUUAGUUCACUAUAGGUAUUUAGUUUUAUUUUUACGACCACCAUUUCGAGGUUUAUUUUACAAAGGUUUUUUUUUUUGUUUUUUUUCUCUCUCUGCAUUGCUGUCUUUGUGAGUGUAGUGUUUUGAGAAAAAUAAAACUCCAUUUCAAUUAUUACAAAAAAAAAAACAUGGCCGCCAACCAAUAUAAAAACAGUGUGACAAACUUACUAAUAAUUUAAUAUUGCAAGUAUUACAUUGUUACCAACACUCUUGAACCGUUAGUCCGAUUUUAAUAAAAUUCAAAAGGGUUGACUUCAAUCAUCCCUCGCAGCAGCUGUUGGCAGUCGGGCGGCACAAAGUGUGGCACAUGGAACACUCCACGCUUCACCUGUAAUAAAAUGAAUAAGAUUGUUCAUUUUGAUGUAGUAGUACGCCGAAGUGAAGUUAUAAUAAAGUUUUCAUUAUAAUUGUC